GGAAGGGCGCGUUUGUCUGAGCCUGGGACUAACAUAAUCACAUAAAGUUGUUGCUUUGGAAUAGAUGGAGCUGCCCCAGAGUCGAUUUUCUUGGAAGCAACGCAAAGCACAGCUUCCUGGGAGAAGACACAAUGCCUCCUAUUGUCUCUGCCACUUCCCCUCCAGCCUCCCAGCAUUUCUGCGUCUCCUCGGGAGCCACUGCCCUGUGCAAGAGCUGUUUGCUGAUGCCCAGCCGCGGCUUCCAAAACUCCCGCGAGAAGUCGUUUCUGUCCACAGUCAUUGUUUCCAGACCAGCCGAGCCAACUGGGGAGGAGAGGCCAAGCCCAGGGAGAGCAGUAAGAGGCCCAGCUUGCAACACAGGCCCCCGGCGGCUGGAGUCGGCUCAUGGGUUGCUGGGGGGCAGCUGGUGCCAGCCCUGCUAGACAUGUCCAGGGUCGGGGCAGAGGCCAGGGUGGCUCUCAUCCACAACGAGGCUCCAGGAAGAGGCUCCAGAGGGCCCAGGUCCCUGGAGGAAGACAGAGGGUGGAUUAUCCAGUGAGUCCUCAGAUUGCUCCAGGGAGACUCUACCCCUAGGCCCUCAUCCUACCUAGGACUGAGGCAG
rnacentral:lncRNA from 1 species